rnacentral:tRNA from 1 species
AGGGGUAUAACUCAGCGGUAGAGUACGCGCCUUACAAGCGUGUUGUCGGGGGUUCGACACCCUCUACCCCUA